AAUUUAAUUUAUUUAUUAAAAACACUUUUUCAUUUAUUUUUAAACAAAUUUUCUAAAAAACUGAAAAGGAAAAUUAAAUUUAUUCAAAGAAAUCCAAUGUUCCUUUUGUAUCAGGAUUUAUUAAAUCUCUUAAAUAUUUAACUUUCCCGAAAAACUGUGAUCUAAAUAUUCUCCUAUUUAUUAUUUCAAAAAUAAUUUUAAAAAAUAUUUAGAAAUUAAACGUUUCUCGUACAGUUUCAUAUCUGGUUCUUAAAAAAUCUUCACAAUUAAAUAAAACCAGAAAGAAUAAACUUGCUGGUAAAUUUCUAUUUCAAUUAUUUCUUCAAAGGAAUAAAAGUGCCCAUAAAGUUUUACAACUAACUUAAAUUUAAAUUAAAUAAUCUUAUUUAAGAACUUCCAUUCAAAAGAUAUAAUAAUAAAAUAAGUAAAUCAUUGAAUUUAAUAUAUAAAACUCAGCCCUAAUUAAAUGACUGUUUAUCAAAAACAUUUCUAAUAGAAUUUAUUAUUAGUAUUAUCUGCUCAAUGUUAAUAAAUAGCCGCAAUUAUAUUGUGCUAAGGUAGCAUAAUCAUUAGUCUUUUAAUUAAAGACCAGCACGAAAGAUCUAACAUUUUAAUUUCUAUUAUAUAUAAACUUAUUAAAAUUAUUUUAAAUGUAAAAAAACAUUUAUACAAAAAAAAGACAACAAGACCCUAUUGAACUUCACUUUAGUUUAACUGGGGCAGUUGAUUAAUUAAAAUUUUAAUUUACAUUAAAUUACCAAUUGACCCGAUUCAAUCGAUCAUUUAACCAAGUUACCAUAGGGAUAACAGCGUAAUAAUUUUUCAAAGACCUUAUUUAAAAAAUUGAUUGCGACCUCGAUGUUGAAUUAAUUAUCUAUUUAAUGCAAUAAUUAAAAAAGAAAGUCUGUUCGACUUUUAAAUAAUUACAUGAUUUGAGUUCAGACCGGUGUAAGCCAGGUCGGUUUAUAUCUUUUAUUUAAUUUUUAAUAGUACGAAAGGACCUUAAAAAGUAUUUUAAAUAUU
rnacentral:rRNA from 1 species